rnacentral:rRNA from 1 species
AGCAGCCGCGGUAAUUCCAGCUCCAAUAGCGUAUAUUAAAGUUGUUGCAGUUAAAAAGCUCGUAGUUGAAUUUCGGGACUAACAGAUUGGUCGCGCCUUUGGUGUGUACUGGUCUAGUUGGUUUCUCCCUUCUGACGAACCACGAUGUCAUUAGUUUGGUGUCGUGGGAAAUCAGGACUGUUACUUUGAAAAAAUUAGAGUGUUUAAAGCAAGCGCUAGCUUGAAUACAUUAGCAUGGAAUAAAUGAAAUAGGACGUUUGACCCUAUUUUGUUGGUUUCUAGGAUCGACGUAAUGAUUAAUAGGGAUAGUUGGGGGCAGUUAGUAUUCAAUUGUCAGAGGUGAAAUUCUUGGAUUUAUUGAAGACUAACUACU